rnacentral:tRNA from 2 species
GUGCGGUUGGCGUAGUGGUCAGCGCAUCCACCAUCUUCGAUGUGGAAGACCCAGGUUCGAUUCCUGGACCGCGCA